UAAUCAAAUUCCGCAAAGACCCUCGGGCACAAAUAGGUAGAUUGGUUUCUAACCAACCUACUACAACGCGAAAAGACGCUUCUUGCGAUGUAAUCGCAAACACACAUAUUAAUUAAUUAAUUAAUUAAUAUACGCAGACUAUAAUUAAAGUGAAGACAAUGAGUCAAAACGAUAUCCGCAUGCAACGUCAGCGCGAGCAAGACGAGAGACGGCUCUCAUCGAUCAGAAAUAAUGCAACCGAAAAUUAUGCAAACCCAGACAAUACGCGGUCAAUCACCCCCAGUUCGACUGACCUCUUGAACGUAACGAGCGAGAGAGCGCGCUCUUGCUCUCCCGCGCUACCAUCGAUGUCUCUAAAGCCAAAAAGUUCCGAGUGUACUCCAAUGCAUGUAUGCACUGACCUACGCUUAUCAGCAAUAAGUAGCACAGCAGUGUCUUUAACCACUGCAACGGUAACAACAACAACAACAACAGCAGCAACGGUAUCGACCAACCGUUUAUUAUCAUCAUCAGCAACUUCGCCAUCGAUAAACAAACCCGUAGCCAACACAAAAACGGCGUUCGCUGCGCUGCCCGAAAAAUACACAAUAACCAACGAAAAUAAAAGGCCGGUUGUGCAGACUGGUAUGGAUCGCUACAUCCAAAUCAAAAGAAAGCUGAGCCCCCUAAAUUCUAAGCGAAAAAUAACCCGUGCCAAUUAUAAAUCAGCUGAGACUGAAACGCCCAUUAAUACAAACAGAUUUAAAAUUUUGGAAGACGCUACUGACGAAGAAGUUGACGAAGCUACCGAAGCUGAGAAGAAGAAACCGAAGCCCCCCCAAUAUACAUCCGGGAGAAAAGCUGCAAUGCACUUGUUAACAAAAUAGUUGAGCUUAUUGGAAAAGAUAACUUUCAUAUAAUUCCCCUUGUGAAGGGCAGCAUACACGAAACAAAAGUUCAAACGAAGAACGAAGACAAUUACCGAGUGUUGUCUAAAUAUCUUAAUGACAAGAAAAAGAACUUCUACACGUACCAACUUAAAAGCAGCAAGGGUCUGCAAGUUGUACUUAAAGGAAUUGAAUCCGAUGUAACACCUGAAGAAGUAAAAAAUGCACUACAAGACAAAGGUUUAAACACUAAGACAGUCUUCAAUAUCUUGAACAGGGAUAGGAAACCGCAACCACUCUUCAAGAUAGAGCUCGAACCGGAAACUAAGCCCCUUAAUAGAAACGAAGUGCACCCCAUAUACAAACUUCAGUUCCUUCUCCACCGUAGAAUCACAGUAGAGCAACCACAUAAGCGCAAUGGGCCGGUACAAUGUACGAACUGCCAAGAAUAUGGCCAUACAAAGUCAUACUGCACACUACGCCCAGUGUGUGUAGUUUGUGGAGACCUUCAUGACUCAGCACUCUGCCCAGCGAGCAAAAACGACUCCAAUGUAAAAAAGUGCGGCAACUGUGGCGGCAAUCAUACAGCCAACUAUAGAGGUUGCCCAAUAUACAAGGAGCUAAAAAGUCGCAUCCAUCAACGAGGAACCACUGCCCGCUCCCACAACGCACAGCUCACAGCAUCAAAAUCAAACCCUGAAGUCUUCCUUUCGACUGCACCCAGCUCCUCACUAGGACCCGUAACCCUCAACAAAAAUGUGACAUUUGCAAGCGCUCUAAAAUUAGGACUGGCUCCUCCUGUAUCUAAAACUUCAUUUCCACAAGCAGCAUGUCUAGAACACAACAUGACUCAACAACGUCAACCAACGGAGCAGACACAAAGCAACUUUGAAGCAAUGAUAGUUAGCCUGCAACAAAGCCUAAUGGAGUUUAUGUCGUUUAUGCGCACAACUAUGCAAGAUUUAAUGCGAAACCAAAAUCUUCUGAUUCAAAUGCUGGUCUCACAACAACCAAAAUAAUGACGUCCCUACGAAUUUCUUCGUGGAACGCUAACGGCGUCUCACAGCACAAACUUGAGUUAACUCAAUUUCUACUCGACAAUCACAUCGAUGUAAUGCUACUUUCAGAAAACACACCUUACAAACAGAUAAAAUUUUCUAAUAAGAGGCUACUCAUUCUAUGGAACAAAUCAUCCGGACGGUAAAGCACAUGGUGGGACUGGCAUUCUAAUCAGAAGUCGUAUUAAGCACCACUAUUAUAACAAAACUGCUAAAAACUAUCUACAGGCCACAUCUAUAAGCAUACAACUGAUUAAUGGCAACCAACUAACUCUAGAAUCGGACAGGAGUCAAAAUGCUAUUUAGGCAUCUCAUCCCUCGCCUCAGUCACACCAGUAGGGAUUUGUCAAGGUGCCAGGAAACAUUUGAGACAGUCUCAUCCUCAUCAUAGCUUCGUCAGCUGGAUCUGGACAAAAGCACGAGACGCAUCUGUGGCAGAUAUGUGUAGAUUUAACUUUUUUAUUUGUGCAAAUGCUUGUUAAUUGUGUUUUUUUUUAUUAUGUUUCAGAGUUUCGUCCCUCGCCGCAGUCAAGUCAGAGGGAAUCGGACAGGAGUUAAAACGCUUUUAGGCAUCUCAUCCCUCGCCUCAGUCACACCAGUAGGGAUUUGUCAAGGUGCCAGGAAACAUUUGAGACAGUCUCAACCCUCAUCAAAGCUUCGUCAGCUGGAUCUGGACAAAAGCACGAGACGCAUCUGUGGCAGAUAUGUGUAGAUUUAACUUUUUUUAUUUGUGCAAAUGCUUGUUAAUUGUGUUUUUUUUUAUUAUGUUUCAGAGUUUCGUCCCUCGCCGCAGUCAAGUCAGAGGGAAUCGGACAGGAGUUAAAACGCUUUUAGGCAUCUCAUCCCUCGCCGCAGUCACACCAGUAGGGAUUGGUCAAGGAGCCAAAACGCUAUUUUUGCAUCUCAUCCCUCGCCGCAGUCACACCAGUAGGGAUUGGUCAAGGAGCCAAGAAACAUUUUAGACAGUCUCAACCCUCAUCAUAGCUUCGUCAGCUGUAUUUGGACAGGGAGCAUCUGUGGCAGAUAUGUGUAGAUUUUAAUUUUUGUAUUUGUGCAUAUGCUUCUUAAUUGUGUUUUUUUAUUUUGUUUCAGAGUUUCGUCCCUCGCCGCAGUCAAGUCAGAGGGAAUCGGACAUAGUAUACUGCCCCCCUCGUUUCAAUAUAACCGAAUAUGAGUUUUUGCAGUUCUUCAACACAUUAGGUGACCAUUUUAUAGCAGCAGGAGACUACAAUGCCAAACACACACACUGGGGAUCUCGCCUCGUGACUCCAAAAGGAAGCAGCUUUACAAUGCAAUCAUAAAAUCCAACAACAAGCUUGACUAUGUCUCUUCUGGUAGACCAACAUACUGGCCGACAGACCCAAAGAAACUACCCGAUCUUAUUGACUUAGCGAUAACCAAAAAUAUUCCCAAAAAUCUUAUAAGCGCCGAAUGCCUUUCGGAUCUUUCAUCUGAUCACUCGCCGGUCUUAUUUCAUCUUCUCCAACAACCAGGAACAUUAGAACACCAGUUUAACCUGACCUCACAAAAAACCAACUGGCUCAAGUUUAGAAAAUAUAUUAGCACACAUAUUGAGCUAUGUCCUCGCCUCAACGACGAAGCUGACAUAGACAGCUUUGUAACUACACUGGAGUCCGUACUCGUCACUGCGGCUCGAGUUUCCACACCCCAAACCUCAAAUAUUCAAUGCAAGCAAAAGAAGACAAAUCUACAAAUCGAACAGCUUGUCCUAGAAAAGCGGCGCUUAUGUCGGGAGUGGCAAUUCUAUAGAUCGCCAUCUGCUAGGCAGAACUUGAAAUACGCCUCACGGCAACUAACUAAAGCUCUAAAACAAGAAGAAUCAUAUUCCCAGCGCCGUUAUAUAGAGCAACUGUCAUCAACUUGCUCAAAACACUCACUAUGGAGAGCCCACCCAUCUCUUAGCUCACCGAAAGAAACCGUGAUGCCUAUUAGAAACCCCUCAGGCGGCUGGGCGCGCAGCGAUAAAGAUAGAGCCAGCACAUUCGCCGACCACCUUAAAAAUAUCUUUCAACCAAAUCCUGCCACCAAUGCAUGCACUCUGCCGACUUUUGCAUAUGACACCCAGCUUCACCAUGAGCCAAUCGAGUUUCGCCCAUUGGAAAUCGUUAGCAUCAUCAAAAACCAUAUGAACCCGAAAAAAUCUCCAGGCUGCGACCUCAUUACCCCUAAAAUGAUCACGGAGCUUCCAUAUUGUGCCGUUCGCACCAUUACACAUCUCUUCAAUGCCAUCGCUAAACAUGGCCACUUUCCAAAAAGAUGGAAAAAGUCAAUUAUUAUAAUGAUUUCGAAGCCAGGAAAAGACCCCACAAUCCCCACAUCGUACAGACCUAUAAGCCUACUAUCAUGCUUAUCUAAACUUUUUGAAAAAUGCAUAUUAACUCGGAUAAACACAUAUCUACGAAUCCAGAAUGGAAUUCCAUCACACCAAUUCGGAUUUCGAGAAAAACACGGAACGAUUGAGCAGGUCAACCGAAUAACAUAAGAAAUUCGAAACGCGUUCGAAAAACGUGAGUACUGCACCGCCAUAUUUAUGGACGUCUCUCAAGCGUUUGAUAGAGUUUGGCUAGAAGGCCUAAUGUACAAGAUCAAGACAAUGCUUCCCAGCAACACUCACAAACUUUUAGAGUCUUAUCUACACGACAGAAAAUUUGCUGUGAGAUGUAACACUGCCAUAUCUGACGAUUUUUCUAUUUUGGCUGGAGUCGCCCAAGGUAGCGUGCUCGGGCCAACAUUAUAUGUCCUCUACACAGCAGACAUCCCGACAAGCAGUCGACUGACAACAUCUACUUUUGCUGAUGAUACAGCUAUACUCAGCCGUUCAAAAUGUCCAAUACAAGCAACUGCGCAACUAGCUCUUCACUUGGCCGACGUUGAAAAAAUGGCUAUCUGUUUGGCGAAUUAAAGUAAAUGAACAAAAAUGCAAGCACGUUACUUUCACCCUGAAUAGGCAAAACUGCCCACACCUCACAUUAAAUAACACCCUGCUUCCGCAAUCAAACGAAGUAACGUAUCUAGGAGUACAUCUCGACAGAAGACUCACAUGGCGCCGGCACAUUGAAGCCAAAGGAACACACUUAAAGUUGAAAGCCAGUAGCCUACACUGGCUCAUCAACGCUCGAUCUUCCCUUAGGUUAGACUACAAAGUCCUGCUGUACAAUUCAGUACUAAAGCCUAUAUGGACGUACGGCUCCCAGUUAUGGGGGUAUGCUAGCAAUAGCAACAUCGACAUAAUCCAGAGGGCUCAAUCAAAAAUCCUGAGAACGAUCACCGGGGCACCGUGGUACGUUCGCAACGAAAACAUACAUCGUGACUUGAACAUCCCACCAGUCAAAGCAGUUAUCGCAGUACAAAAGGAUAAGUACCUCACCAAGCUAUCUUUGCACCCCAACCACCUUGCAAGAGAUCUAAUAAGUUGUGCAACCAAUCCCGUCUUCGUCGCAAUAACUUACCUACCCAGCGACCAACUUGAGGGACGCGCAACCAAAAUUACAGUCCACUGUUAGUUAAUGUUUAACUUUUAAGAUUCGAAAACUUAUUGUUAGUCUCAAAGCUAAGAGAAGAUUCAAUAAAUUAAGCAAAGUUAAUAAAAAAAAUAUUCUUAAAAUGCUUAAGAAUAUUAUACAAAAAGAUUUUUUUGUGCCAAAGAAUGCCAUCACAACUAAAACUCUAACCAAACACAGAAAUCACCAACCAAGAAAGCUCACAAUUAUGUACUAAAUACAAUAUUGAUUUACACAAAACACAACACA